GUGCUCACUUUGGUAGCACAUAUACUAAACUGGAACAAUAGAGAGAUUAGCAUGGCCCCUGCACAAGGAUGACACAUAAAUUCAUGAAGCAUUCCAUAAAUAU
rnacentral:snRNA from 1 species